UACGGAGGAUCCGAGCGUUAUCCGGAUUUAUUGGGUUUAAAGGGUGCGCAGGCGGGAGAUUAAGUCGGCGGUGAAAUUUUGCGGCUCAACCGUAAAAGUGCCUUCGAUACUGGUUUCCUUGAGUGUAGAUGAAGUAGGCGGAAUUUGUGGUGUAGCGGUGAAAUAGCAUAGAUAUCACGAGGAACUCCGAUUGCGCAGGCAGCUUACUAAACCAUAACUGACGCUCAGGCACGAAGGCGUGGGGAGUCAAACAGGAUUAGAUACCCGGGUAGGUCCCUGA
rnacentral:rRNA from 1 species